CGCCGACCAUGAGUGAUUCUGCAGCAUUUCAUUAUGCUACAUGUGAACAGUACUGUAUAAAGUUAUUUUGUAUGAGUUACUUUUUGGUUCGAUUCUUUCGAGGGCGAGCCGACGCCAACAGCAUGGAUCACGGACCUGGUCACCGGUCUCAGACGCCGGGCCACCAUCCCCCGCAACCGCGGUAGACGAUGCGACGCGCGACGGCAAGCGAUACCUGGCGGCGGCCGCCCCACACCAGAGGAACAAGGGUGCUGGAGCUCACGAGACGACAGGCCACCAUCCUCGCCCAGCUCCGCGCCGGCAACGCUUGCGCUCUAACGGUUUUGACAUGUGCAGUUCUGAAUCGACUGUAUUUAGUCCCUCGUAGCGUCUCGCUGCGGGGGAGGGCGGAGCACGGCGGAAGGCUGGGGAGCCGAAAGGGAGGACUAUUUACGUCGGCUGAAAGGAAUUUCACGUUCCCGGGAAAGGGACGCGUUGGCGCGGCCGUGGUGAUGCCGUGUGAUGUGCUAUGUUCAAGUCUUGUAUCUCGGAAUGAUGUGAAGGACAAACAACAGCGAAAAGGAAAUCUAAAAAAGCCAUCACACAACGGAGUAGAGCGAAUGGCGGCGGGGGGCCGCGUUGUGAUAGAUCGGCUUGAUCCUCCAGGGUCGUUGCUCUCUCCUCCAAAUGCUUACGUGCCCGUGUGCGUCUCCGCGAUCCCGUGAGAGGGUGGGACACUUCAACGUGCUGCGCCUUUUUUUUUUGGAAUUUAAGUUUUAUUGGCUCAGCAAGG
rnacentral:misc_RNA from 1 species